UACUGUUUUCCUAAUCAUGGU
ensembl:piRNA 21ur-3950 ncRNA